GUGGGGAAUAUUGGACAAUGGGCGCAAGCCUGAUCCAGCCAUGCCGCGUGAGUGAUGAAGGCCUUAGGGUUGUAAAGCUCUUUCGCCGGGGACGAUGAUGACGGUACCCGGAGAAGAAGCCCCGGCUAACUUCGUGCCAGCAGCCGCGGUAAUACGAAGGGGGCUAGCGUUGUUCGGAAUUACUGGGCGUAAAGCGCGCGUAGGCGGUCAGCCAAGUCAGGGGUGAAAGCCCGGGGCUCAACCUCGGAACUGCCCUUGAGACUGGUUGACUUGAGUAUGGAAGAGGGUCGUGGAAUUCCCAGUGUAGAGGUGAAAUUCGUAGAUAUUGGGAAGAACACCAGUGGCGAAGGCGGCGACCUGGUCCAUUACUGACGCUGAGGUGCGACAGCGUGGGGAGCAAACAGGAUUAGAUACCCUAGUAGUCC
rnacentral:rRNA from 1 species